rnacentral:rRNA from 1 species
AAUAGAUACCCUGGUAGUCCACGCCGUAAACGAUGUCGACUUGGAGGUUGUUCCCUUGAGGAGUGGCUUCCGGAGCUAACGCGUUAAGUCGACCGCCUGGGGAGUACGGCCGCAAGGUUAAAACUCAAAAUGAAUUGACGGGGGCCCGCACAAGCGGUGGAGCAUGUGGUUUAAUUCGAUGCAACGCGAAGAACCUUACCUACUCUUGACAUCCAGAGAACUUAGCAGAGAUGCUUUGGUGCCUUCGGGGAACUCUGAGACAGGUGCUGCAUGGCUGUCGUCAGCUCGUGUUGUGAAAUGUUGGGUUAAGUCCCGCAACGAGCGCAACCCUUAUCCUUUGUUGCCAGCGGUUUAGGCCGGGAACUCAAAGGAGACUGCCAGUGAUAAACUGGAGGAAGGUGGGGAUGACGUCAAGUCAUCAUGGCCCUUACGAGUAGGGCUACACACGUGCUACAAUGGCGCAUACAAAGAGAAGCGACCUCGCGAGAGCAAGCGGACCUCAUAAAGUGCGUCGUAGUCCGGAUUGGAGU